GCGAAAAUAGCUCAGCUGGUAGAGCGCAACCUUGCCAAGGUUGAGGUCGCGGGUUCGAACCCCGUUUUUCGCUCAA
rnacentral:tRNA from 5 species